UACAGAGGUCCCAAGCCGUUGUUCGGAUCCAUUGGGCGUAAAGGGUGCGUAGGCGGCGCGGUAAGUCGGGUGUGAAAUCUCGGAGCUUAACUCCGAAACUGCAUUCGAUACUGCCGUGCUUGAGGACUGGAGAGGAGACUGGAAUUUACGGUGUAGCGGUGAAAUGCGUAGAUAUCGUAAGGAAGACCAGUGGCGAAGGCGGGUCUCUGGACAGUUCCUGACGCUGAGGCACGAAGGCCAGGGGAGCAAACGGG
rnacentral:rRNA from 1 species